rnacentral:rRNA from 1 species
UACGUAGGGUGCGAGCGUUGUCCGGAAUUAUUGGGCGUAAAGAGCUCGUAGGCGGUGUGUCGCGUCGGUCGUGAAAACUUGGGGCUUAACUCUGAGCUUGCGGUCGAUACGGGCAUCACUUGAGUUCGGCAGGGGAGACUGGAAUUCCUGGUGUAGCGGUGAAAUGCGCAGAUAUCAGGAGGAACACCGGUGGCGAAGGCGGGUCUCUGGGCCGUAACUGACGCUGAGGAGCGAAAGCUAGGGGAGCAAACGGG